CCUACGGGAGGCAGCAGUGAGGAAUAUUGGGCAAUGCCCGCAAGGGUGACCCAGCAACGCCGGGUGGAGGAUGAAUGGGGUAAGGUUGUAAACUCCUGUUAGAGGGGAAGAAUAAUUCCGAUUGCAUCGGAACUUGACGUUACCCUCAGAGAAAGCCCCGGC
rnacentral:rRNA from 1 species